rnacentral:rRNA from 1 species
GAUGAACGCUGGCGGCGUGCCUAAUACAUGCAAGUCGAGCGGUAAGGCUUUCACAGUUCUCAUCUCUCUCGUUUACUCGAGAUCAAGAGGUGUGAAGCGUGAAAGUACACGAGCGGCGGACGGCUGAGUAACACGUAGGAAUCUACCCCAAAGUGAGGGAUAACUGCUCGAAAGAGUAGCUAAUACCACAUACCAUCUUCGGAUGAAAGCUACGGCGCUUUGGGAAGAGCCUGCGUAAGAUUAGCUAGUUGGUGAGGUAAUAGCUCACCAAGGCGACGAUCUUUAGCUGGUCUGAGAGGAUGAUCAGCCAGACUGGGACUGAGACACGGCCCAGACUCCUACGGGAGGCAGCAGUAGGGAAUUUUCCACAAUGGGCGCAAGCCUGAUGGAGCAACGCCGCGUGCAGGAUGAAGGCUUUCGGGUCGUAAACUGCUUUUCCCCGGGGUCCGAACUAACCCCUCCGCGACGGGGGACGUGGCCGGUACCGGGGAACGGUAAGGAGUAC